rnacentral:rRNA from 1 species
UACAGAGGGUGCGAGCGUUAAUCGGAAUUACUGGGCGUAAAGCGUGCGUAGACGGUUUCGUAAGUCGGGUGUGAAAUCCCCGGGCUCAACCUGGGAAUUGCAUUCGAAACUGCGAGGCUAGGGUACGGAAGAGGGAAGCGGAAUUUCUGGUGUAGCGGUGAAAUGCGUAGAUAUCAGAAGGAACAUCAGUGGCGAAAGCGGCUGCCUGGACCAGUACCGACGUUCAGGCACGAAAGCGUGGGGAGCAAACAGG